AUUGAACGCUGGCGGCAUGCCUUACACAUGCAAGUCGAACGGCAGCGCGGGAGCAAUCCUGGCGGCGAGUGGCGAACGGGUGAGUAACAUAUCGGAACGUGCCCUGGAGUGGGGGAUAACUAGUCGAAAGAUUAGCUAAUACCGCAUACGAUCUACGGAUGAAAGUGGGGGAUCGCAAGACCUCAUGCUCGUGGAGCGGCCGAUAUCUGAUAGCUAGUUGGUAGGGUAAAAGCCUACCAAGGCGACGAUCAGUAGCUGGUCUGAGAGGACGACCAGCCACACUGGGACUGAGACACGGCCCAGACUCCUACGGAGGCAGCAGUGGGAAUUUUGGACAAUGGGGCAACCCUGAUCCAGCAAUGCCGCGUGAGUGAAGAAGGCCU
rnacentral:rRNA from 1 species